UAAGCUCCCCAACAGCUCGCUCCUUCCUCUUCCUAAUGUAAUUGCCACCCUCGUCCGUCCACACCAGCCCGGCUCCCCCCCGUACACUCGCUGUUUACAGCCCCACAGUAGGCUGUUAGACACACACGGGGGCCUUAAAGACCCUCCCGCUCCGUGCGCGCAGACCCGAGUCCGACUGGAACUCAUUUGGUGUCGUCUGAUUCUGACGUCUCACCAGGGGGCCACAAUUUCUUUUGCUUUCUUUCAUUUUUUUUUUUGUAUCCAAGUGACAGAACGUGUGUUAAGGUUUGUAAGGCUGAAAAUGGAAUGACACAAAUGUGGCGACCAUAUUUAGAGUUUUCCCUUUUAAACAGGCACGAUGACGGCAGGGCGUGCAAACCUGAACCAGACCACACAACAUUACCCGAGCCUCUCCUCUCCUCCUCCUCCUCCUUUGUCUUCUUCUUCUUUUUCUUCUUCCUCUUCUUCUUCUUCUUCUUCUUCCCUUAAUGUCUCCGUCCAUGAGAGGACUUCCUCCCGCACAUCUGGACAGGGCUCAUCAGGCCGACCCGGCGUGAGGGGAUGAAGGGUGACUCUCCUGCUGGCCGGUUCACCCAGCGCACCUCGGUCCUGUCCUCUCCCCAAAAGCGCCACAGCUGCUGAUUCUUUUUUACUUGUUCUCUCACCGUCCUGACACCUUGCUCCGUGUUCCGGUCGGAUCAUGGAUCCUGUCAGCUGCUGCAGUGCUUCAGUAUCUGACACCAUCAUCUGCAGCUUCUCUCCGAGCUUCUGUUAGUCAGGAGACGCGCUCAUGCCUGUUUGCCCGGCCGCCGGACCACCCACAUUCGGAAACGCCUAGCUGUUCCUGAGGCAGAGCCGGCGGCAGUUUAGAGAGAGAGAGAGAGAGAGAGAGAGAGAGAGA